rnacentral:rRNA from 1 species
GUUGGUGAGGUAACGGCUCACCAAGGCGACGAUCCCUAGCUGGUCUGAGAGGAUGACCAGCCACACUGGAACUGAGACACGGUCCAGACUCCUACGGGAGGCAGCAGUGGGGAAUAUUGCACAAUGGGCGCAAGCCUGAUGCAGCCAUGCCGCGUGUAUGAAGAAGGCCUUCGGGUUGUAAAGUACUUUCAGCGGGGAGGAAGGUGUUGCGGUUAAUAACCGCAGCAAUUGACGUUACCCGCAGAAGAAGCACCGGCUAACUCCGUGCCAGCAGCCGCGGUAAUACGGAGGGUGCAAGCGUUAAUCGGAAUUACUGGGCGUAAAGCGCACGCAGGCGGUCUGUCAAGUCGGAUGUGAAAUCCCCGGGCUCAACCUGGGAACUGCAUUCGAAACUGGCAGGCUUGAGUCUUGUAGAGGGGGGUAGAAUUCCAGGUGUAGCGGUGAAAUGCGUAGAGAUCUGGAGGAAUACCGGUGGCGAAGGCGGCCCCCUGGACAAAGACUGACGCUCAGGUGCGAAAGCGUGGGGAGCAAACAGGAUUAGAUACCCUGGUAGUCCACGCCGUAAACGAUGUCUACUUGGAGGUUGUGCCCUUGAGGCGUGGCUUCCGGAGCUAACGCGUUAAGUAGACCGCCUGGGGAGUACGGCCGCAAGGUUAAAACUCAAAUGAAUUGACGGGGGCCCGCACAAGCGGUGGAGCAUGUGGUUUAAUUCGAUGCAACGCGAAGAACCUUACCUGGUCUUGACAUCCACGGAAGUUUUCAGAGAUGAGAAUGUGCCUUCGGGAACCGUGAGACAGGUGCUGCAUGGCUGUCGUCAGCUCGUGUUGUGAAAUGUUGGGUUAAG